ensembl:lncRNA PFN1P2 profilin 1 pseudogene 2
CGGACGGGACCUGUUAGGACACUGCCAUUGUGGGCAACAAGGACCCGCCUUCCAUCUGGGCCGCCGUCCCAGGGAAAACCUUCCUCAACAUCACGCCAGCUGAGGUUGGUGUCCUGGUUGGCAAAGACUGGUCAAGCUUUGUCAUGAAUGGGCUGACACUGGGGGGCCAGAAAUAUACUGUGGUCCUGGACUCACUGCUGCAGGAUGGGGAAUUGACCACGGAUCUUCGUAUGAAGAGCAUCGGUGGAGCCCCCACCUUCAACGUCAUUGUCACCAUGACUGCCAAGACGCUAGGCCUGCUGAUGGGCAAAGAAGGUAUCCAUGGCAAUUUCAUCGACAAGUAAUGUUAUGAAAUGGCCUCCCACCUUCAGCGUUCCCAGUACUGACCUCCUUUGUUCCUUCCACUCCACCGCUCCCCACAGCUUUGCCCGCCUUUCCUUCACAUACACACACCAUUUUAAUUUCAGGAGUCAUUACUCCACACACCUUAUUGCUGCCAAAACCACAUGGGCUGGGGGCCAGGGAUAGAUGGACAGACACCUUCCCCCACCCAUACCCCUCCUGUGUGUGGCUGGAAAACUUUUUUGUUUUGAUGGAUUUUUUAUGAAUAAAAAAGUUUCUACUAAAAAAAAUCAAUAACUGUACAUAUGUGGGCAUAUUGUUUGAGUCUGUAUUCUUUCACUUUGAUGUAUUUAUGAAUACUGACACCAUUACUACUGUUUUAAAAUUACUGUAGCUUUAAAAUCAGGUUUGAAAUCUAGCAGAGUAAGUCCUCCAACUUAUUGCUUCUUCAAUACCGACUUGCUUAUUCUAGGUUCUUUGAUUUUCAAAUACAUUUUGAAACUAGCUUUCAAAUUUCUCUAAAAUCUCCUACUAGAAAUAUUAAGCAGAAUUGUGUUGAUGUAAUAUGCUAACAAAAUUGAGUCUUCCAAGCAAUGAACAUGAUAUAUAUUUAUUUAGCCUUCUUUAAUUUUUCUCACCAAUUGCUUUUAGGGGCCUUGUACCUGCUUCAUUGCAUGUAUUGUUAAGCAUGUAAUGAUUCUGGCUGUUAAUCUCUAUUAUGUUUUAUUGAAUUUCAUUUUCUAGCUGCUAAUUGCUAGUAUGGAGAAAUUAAGAUGAUGAAAUCAACUUUAUAAAGGCAUAAUUUCGGUACAACAGACUGCACCACUUUAAAAUGUGUAAUUCAAUGCACGUUUACAAAUGGAUACACUAACGGAACUACUGCCACAACCAAGAUAGAGGAAAUUCCCUAUGCCCCAAAGUUUCUUGUACCCCUUUGCAGUUCAUCAGCCUUUCAACCCUCAGCCCCAAGGAGCCACUGUCACUUCAGGUCCGUUUGCAUUUUUAACCAUUUUCUAUAAAUGAAAUGAUACCUGUGUUCUUUUGUGUCUGCCUUCUUUCAUGCAUCAAUGUAAUUUUAAAAUCCAUCUGUAAUGUCUUGUAAAUACUGAGUAGUAUUCCUUCGUGUGGCUAUACCAUGUAUGUUUGUACUUUCACUUAUUAUUGGACAUUUCUAUCAUUCCACGUUUGGGCUAUUAUGAAGAAACUAUCAUGAGCAUCCAUACGUGGCAGGCCAGGUCUCACUAACACAGGCCUCCCUAACAACUGUUUCAGUACCGACUGAGUGGUUCAAUUAAAUAUUAAGAGGAAAAAAAAAAAAAAAGAAGCCAGUGCCCUUAUACAAAGGCUGGAAUGUAACAAAAGCCCACCAAGAGUUUUGCCUAGGUUUUUCCUGGGCCUUAAAGCAUGACGAAAUAACGAAGGCAUUCUUAACAGGAGCCAUUUAGUAUUAAACGAGUUUUAUUGGGGGUCUGAAGAAACUCCCCAGGCCUCC